CUACGGAGCAGCAGUCGAGAGCUUCGCAAUGGGAACCCUGACCGAGCGACGCCGCGUGGGCGAUGAARGCCUUACGGUCGUAAAGCCCUGUCAGAGGGGAAGAAACACCGGGAUGAUAAUACCAUUCCGGCUUGACGUUACCCUCAAAGGAAGCUCCGGCUAACUCCGUGCCAGCAGCCGCGGUAACACGGGGGGAGCAAACGUUGUUCGGAAUCACUGGGCGUAAAGGGCGUGCAGGCGGCCCGGUAAGUGAAAGUGAAAGACCCUGGCUCAACCAGGGAGGUGCGUCUCAUACUGCCAGGCUUGAGGAAGGGAGAGGAGACGGGAAUUCCCGGUGUAGCGGUGACAUGCACUGAUAUCGGGAGGAACACCAGUGGCGAAGGCGCGUCUCUGGCCCUAUCCUGACGCUCAGGCGCGAAAGCUGGGGGAGCAAACAGGAUUAGAUACCCUGGUAGUCCCAGCCGUAAACGGUGAACACUAGGUGUGGGGGGCAUCGACCCCUUCCGUGCCAAGCUAACGCAUAAGUGUCCGCCUGGGGAGUACGAUCGCAGGUUGAA
rnacentral:rRNA from 1 species